rnacentral:rRNA from 1 species
CCUACGGGGGGCAGCAGUGGGGAAUAUUGGACAAUGGGCGAAAGCCUGAUCCAGCCAUGCCGCGUGUGUGAAGAAGGCCUUCGGGUUGUAAAGCACUUUCAGUGGGGAAGAAAGCCUUGGGGCUAAUACCCUCGAGGAAGGACAUCACCCACAGAAGAAGCACCGGCUAACUCCGUGCCAGCAGCCGCGGUAAUACGGAGGGUGCGAGCGUUAAUCGGAAUUACUGGGCGUAAAGCGCGCGUAGGCGGUCUGAUAAGCCGGUUGUGAAAGCCCCGGGCUCAACCUGGGAACGGCAUCCGGAACUGUCAGGCUAGAGUACAGGAGAGGAAGGUAGAAUUCCCGGUGUAGCGGUGAAAUGCGUAGAGAUCGGGAGGAAUACCAGUGGCGAAGGCGGCCUUCUGGACUGACACUGACGCUGAGGUGCGAAAGCGUGGGUAGCAAACAGGAUUAGAUACCCCUGUAGUC